CCUUCGGGCGCUGACGAGUGGCGGACGGGUGAGUAAUGCUUGGGAAUCUGGCUUAUGGAGGGGGAUAACUACUGGAAACGGUAGCUAAUACCGCGUAAUCUCUUAGGAGUAAAGGGUGGGACUUUCGGGCCACCUGCCAUAAGAUGAGCCCAAGUGGGAUUAGGUAGUUGGUGGGGUAAAGGCCUACCAAGCCGACGAUCUCUAGCUGGUCUGAGAGGAUGGCCAGCCACACUGGAACUGAGACACGGUCCAGACUCCUACGGGAGGCAGCAGUGGGGAAUAUUGCACAAUGGGGGGAACCCUGAUGCAGCCAUGCCGCGUGAAUGAAGAAGGCCUUCGGGUUGUAAAGUUCUUUCGGUGAUGAGGAAGGCAGGCUUGUUAAUAGCAAGUUUGAUUGACGUUAGCCACAGAAGAAGCACCGGCUAACUCCGUGCCAGCAGCCGCGGUAAUACGGAGGGUGCGAGCGCUAAUCGGAAUAACUGGGCGUAAAGGGCACGCAGGCGGAUUGUUAAGUGAGAUGUGAAAGCCCCGAGCUCAACUUGGGAAUUGCAUUUCAGACUGGCAGUCUAGAGUAUUUUAGGGAGGGGUAGAAUUCCACGUGUAGCGGUGAAAUGCGUAGAGAUGUGGAGGAAUACCGAAGGGCGAAGGCAGCCCCUUGGGAAUAUACUGACGCUCAUGUGCGAAAGCGUGGGGAGCAAACAGGAUUAGAUACCCUGGUAGUCCACGCUGUAAACGAUGUUGAUUUGGGGAUUGGGCUUUAAGCUUGAUGCCCGUAGCUAACGUGAUAAAUCAACCGCCUGGGGAGUACGGCCGCCAAGGUUAAAACUCAAAUGAAAUUUGACCGGGGGGGGCCCCCCGCACAAGCGGUGGAGCAUGUGGUUUAAUUCGAUGCAACGCGAAGAACCUUACCUACCCUUGACAUGCAUGGAAUCAA
rnacentral:rRNA from 1 species